AUGGAGGGCUUCAUGCGUACAGGACAACCCCAUUCGCCCCCUCCUCCAUCCUCAAUAGACAUAGGGUUUGAUUCCUCUCAUCUUGCUGCAAUGGGAGUUGAUUUAUGUUACUUGUGUCCUGAGGAUUGUUUGAAAUAUGAGUUCAUAUCUUGGUUCAUUGAAUUUGUUGGGUGUCAACACGUUCUAGAUGAUGUGUACUUGAUCAGAUAUGUACCUUGCUACAGCGUCGUCGCUGAUCUAGGCAUAUGUGUAGGCCUUCGUCAAGGAUAUGACAUGUGGCUAGGAGAUUCACCAGCGGUGGAAUCUGUUUUUAUUUCAUGUAUUUGCGGAAUUUUAGUUGAUGUAAGCUCACAAAACGUCCAAUUAGUGUAG
rnacentral:rRNA from 1 species